AUCCUUUGUUUAGCUUUGCAUGUUAGCAGACUUUGUUAAUUCACUUAUCUUUAGAAACACAUUUAUAUCAGAAAAUUUAACUUGAUGAUUAAAAAAAUUGGUGAAAUACGUGUAGACUUUUGUAACUGGAUUAUAGUUUCAUCUAAGAACUCACUAAAAAUAUACUGAACUUCAGGAAGAGAUUUUUAAAAAUGGCUUUGGUAAGCCAUUUAAAAACCUUAUUUUCCCAAACGAAUUAGUGUUGGUGUGUGGAUGAGGAACUUUGCUGUUAUUCUGUGAGCAUUACCCAAUAAGAACUAAUCAGAUGACAGAUGGAAUCUGAAGCUUGUUCUGAUGAAUUUUUGAGGAAAGGAGAAUGGUUUGAAAAUGGUAAUGAGGAGAAAGAAUGACACUGACACCAGCUCCAGGUCCCGUGGAAUGAAAUCUAUGACAGUUUCUUGCUCUGUCACCCAGGCUGGAGUGUAGUGGUGUGAUCCUAGCUCACGGCAGCCUUGAAUUCCCAGGAUCAAGUGAUUCUCCCACCUCAGCUUCUGAAGUAGCCGGGAAUACAGAAUCUUUCUCCUCCCUUCUUUGUGGUUCCUGAACUGAUAAAAAUGAGCUGCAUUUGCUUACUUUAUUGGAAUACAGUCCUCCCAUAACAAGACUAAGUGAAAGAGAACAUGUUUUCCAGGGGAAGAA